GCCGGGUGUGGUGGUGCAUGCCUGUAAUCCCAGCUACUCAGGAGGCUGAGGCAGGAGAAUCGCUUGAACCUGGGAGGCGGAGAUUGCAGUGAGCUGAGAUCGUGCCACUGCACUCCAGCCUGGGUGACAGAGCGAGACCCUGUCUCAA
rnacentral:sRNA from 1 species